rnacentral:rRNA from 1 species
CAUAUAUAUAUAUAUAUAUAUAUAUAUAUAUUUUUUUUUUUUUAAUUGGUGUAGCCCCCAAAAUAUUGGGACAUAUAAAAAAAGACAACUCUGUUCUGCAGAGUAGUUGUUGACAUUAUAGUUGUGCAGGAACUUUGAUGACUCUAGAGAACCUUGAGCAAAUCGCACAUCCCCGUGGCAGCGACUUUGCAUGCGAAUGUCAUCCAUAUCAACUUUCGAUGCCAGUUUCUGCACCUACCAUGGUGACCACAGGUAACGGGGAACCAGGGUUCCAUUCCGUACAGGGACCCUGAGAAACUGCUACCACAUGCAAGGAAGGCAG